ACUGUAAAUAUAGUUUAACCAAAACAUUAGAUUGUGAAUCUAAAAAUAGGAGUUUAAAUCUCUUUAUAUACC
rnacentral:tRNA from 1 species